CGCACUUGUUUCGAUAAAUGUUCCAAAAUAUUAGCCAAAAUACGGUCACCUUUUUAGAAUUAUUGCCGAAUAUGAUUCGUCUCUACAAGCCGUCCCUAUUUUACACACAGCCGCGUACGAAAUUCUGCGGCGGAAAGCUCUACUUAACGGAAAUUUCUGUGAUGCCCAGUCUAAAAAGCGUAUAGCUGCAAUAAUACGCGAUCGUCUUCAUCACCCGUCCCUAUUUUGCACACAGCACCGGAAGGUUCUAGUUUUCUAAAAAUUUACAAUACGAUCACUCUAAGCAGGGUAUUAAAUUUGACAGAAUUUGUAAUGUGAAAAUGCAACCAUGUGCUUUGAUACAAAUUUAAAAAUUUCUCGCCAGUGGAUUCAGUUUGUGCUAGCCAACAGCCAACAGUUCAAUUUAGCUUUUCGUAAAGCGUUUACUUGACAUCGAGAAAUCGGCCUAAGACAGACUAAUUUAAUAAAUUAUGGAGGUCAUUAGUCCUACAGUGAUUAUUCCCAACAGUGAAUAUUUAUAUAGGGACGCUUUGGUAAAAGUCAAUGAAGAGAAAAAAAUCAAAUUACUUAAGUGCUAUAUACAAAUUUGCAGAUUGAUUCGGGUUCCUUUGGUGAUGUCUACAAAGGGCGAUGGCACUCUAUAAUUCGUGGUAAUAUCAUAAGCGUUGCGCUGAAAAUAAUUCGAAGCCCCGAAGCUAAUGAAAAAGAAAUUAUGAAAGAGAUUUCAUAUUUAAAACAUAUCGAUCAUCCGAAUAUUAUGAAAUUAUACUUAUAUUUCAAAACAACUGAGAAUCAAUUUUGCAUGUGCUUGGAGUAUGCAGACUGUGGAUCACUUUACGAUUUCUUGCAUAAGUCGAAUUGCUGCAUUUCGGACUGCUGGAAACUCGAAAAGAUGCGGCAAUUAUCCGCUGGUAUAAGGCAUCUACAUAGCAAAAAAAAAUAAUCCAUCGUGAUCUCAAAUCAAAGAACCUGUUGCUUUUCGAUAACUUUAAAAUAUUGAAAAUAGGUGAUUUUGGUAAAGUGAAACAACUGUCCCCUGUUAAUACGGAAAUGUCUGGGACAUUUAUUUAUAUGGCUACAGAAGUGUGUGAUCAUGAAGGGAAAGGAAAGUACACUGAAAAAUGUGAUAUUUUUAGCUUAGGCAUUAUUUUCUGGGAAGUAUUGUCUAGGAAGAAGCCCUUUCAUGAGUUUAAAGAUAUGCAUGAAUUUGCUAUUCAAAAUAAAGUUUUGCGAGGUGAUCGUCCAAAUUUAAAUGAUUUUACACUUGGGACUUUUCUUAAUAUAAACAUCAAUGAAUUAAUAAAAAUGUGCUGGCAUGAAGAUCCAGAAAAACGGCCGAAUAUAGAUUACAUAGAUAAUAUUCUAAAUAACUACACAUAUCUAUAUGGCACUAUAGUCCCACAGCAUAUAUAAUUAUUUCACAUAUUGAUAUACAUAUGUAUAGAAACGAAAAAUCUUAAUAAAAUCAUUAUUUAUUCAUGUUUUGCAGAUACUUGUCACCAAAUAAUUUAAAUAACUUAAGCAGAGAACACAUGACGACAAUAAAAUUUUUACUACUUUCUUAUUGGUAUCUUGCCAAAUUCAUUGUUUCGACGGAAAUCUGUUAAUUAGGAGGGUACUCUAGUGUGCUGCGUGAUGUAUAGAUUUCUUAAACGCACGA